CUUGCUUUAGCUUUUCUGUGUUUUCUCGCAUUUCCCACAUUGUCUAGGUCAUCCUGCCGAUCAGAUAUGCUAUGAUUACUUUGCAGAUCAGAUGAAAGGUCUAGAUCACAUUGCAGAUGGAAUAUAGAGGACCCCUACAAGGGAAGACCCAUGCAGUUCUCUCAUGCCGUUCUCUUUUAUUUUAUUAUCCAUUACAAUGUGUUGUUGUAAGAUGUUUGUUGUAUAUUUUUUGGGAUGAUUUAUUGCAUUACUCAAUUUCUAUAAGGUUGCAUUAAUCUGUGCUUACCUCAUAAUCUGCAAAUGUUCAAGAAACAUGUGUAUAUGCAAGCAGUACCAUUUUGAUUUUAGCAACUAAUCCAUAUGCUUAUGUUUAUUUACUACUUUUUGUCCAUUAUAAGUUUCUGUAGCAGCAAAGCCCUUCGUCUACAAAGAAUGCCACCAGGGCCCUCAGACUGAGGAUAAUUUUCAGAGGAGUGUCCUCGUGAAGCUUGACAGCAUUCUUGAGAACCAGCAGGAAGUCUUGGUCCUAAUACAGAGGGUGGUUUCUGCCCUUGGCAGCAGUGUGGAGGACACUGACGAUGUGCUUCCUCAACCCUGGCAGACCAUAAAGAUGGAAGAUAUGUGCACCCAUCUGAAUGAAGAUGCUGACUUAAGGAAAAAAAUGAUAUGAAGGUUUCACUGUUAGGAAUAAACUUAUAUUAAGUGGGGAUAAUGAUUGAUUUUUGGUAUGACAUACAUACAUUGACUUUUUCUGCUAGCAUCAAUUUAACAUGGACUAUUCCUCUUGUACCUGAGUUCCAUCGGAGGGACUGACCUGGGGGAGACAGUGCGGAAAAUGACAUGCAAGCUAUGUACCAACAAGCUUAUGUCAUGCUAGGGCAAAAAUGGAAAGCUGAGGUUCGAAGACCUCUACAUCAACAAAGUGGUAAUAAAAGCAACCAAAUGCAACCACAAGGUGUCCAACAGACGUGGAGUUAAAAAUAGGGGAGCCUCUGAAACUGGCACCACAUUGUGAGAAACAAAAUCAGCAGAUUACAUAUUAUGGUAAAUUGGGCCAUAAUGCAUUAUGGACUUUGAUUUUACUGAUUUGGUUUUCAUCCAUCACCCCAUCUUGCUCAGCUGCACUGGCUACCUGUAAAGUUCAGGAUUACUUUUAGAACUCUCUCCUGUUCAUCUACAAGUCCCUUCAUCACACAGCUCCAGAGUACCUCCUCAACCUGGUGACCCGCUAUGUCCCUGCCCGCAAGCUGAGGUCCUCCGACUCUGGCCUGCUUGUUA